rnacentral:lncRNA from 1 species
UUGGUAAGGGGGAUGGACGAGUUUGGCUAUACAUAGCCUUAGCACGCUCAUUCUUUUUCUAACCAAAAGGUAAAUCAAAAGUCACGAUUUAGAGUCCCCCCAUACCCAUCUUGCUUGCAUUCCUCUAGGGCUCAUGCAUUUCAUAUUGCACAUGACGCUUAUCUUACACAUUCUCACUCUACCGCUAGCACUUUAUAUACGAUCACGUGCACACACGCACUUCAUGCUAUCACUUUACUCACCUUACUUUGCACAUCCAUUUGCGCACUUCCACUUACAUACUAUUGUUUUUUUUAUUACUUUUUCACUUCACACAAACUCAUAUUUUCACAUUGCAUACAUUCAUUCCACUCAUUUUUACAUCAUUAGCAUUAUUCGUGACCUCUCCAAAGAGUCAUUAUUGGGCAUCACUAUUAAUGUGAUUGGCACCAUUCAGACUUUGAAGAGAAAUUUUGCCCCGAUACCCUCCUAAGUCUAGGGUUUGCAUUCAUAUAGUACAUUCAAAUGUGAUAAAUCUUUAGGUUAAAACAAGAAAAUCUUUGACUAAAUCACGCAACUAGCCUUGGCU